rnacentral:rRNA from 1 species
CCCUUAGAUGUUCUGGGCCGCACGCGCGCUACACUGAUUCAUGCAACAAGUUUUGUCCUUGGCUGAUAGGCCUGGGUAAUCUUUGAACGUGAAUCGUGAUGGGGAUAGAUGAUUACAAUUAUUCAUCUUCAACGAGGAAUUCCUAGUAAACGCAAGUCAUCAGCUUGCAUUGAUUACGUCCCUGCCCUUUGUACACACCGCCCGUCGCACCUACCGAUUGAAUGGUCCGGUGAAAUCUUCGGAUCUGAGAGAUGUCUGAUUAAUUUCGGACGCCUUUUGGAAAAGUUGCUUAAACCUUACCAUUUAGAGGAAGGUGAAGUCGUAACA